rnacentral:lncRNA from 1 species
AGAGGAAUCACGUUCGAGGUCCUGCUGGACGAGGAGAGCGCGCCCGGGGACCGAGAGGAGGAGGGCGCUCAGGACGAGAGAGGACAGGCGGAAGAGCAGGAGCGGGAGGAGGAGGUACGAGUGACGCCGGUAGACAAGGACGCAUAGCGAUCGCAGCGUCACGGCUGCGUCCAGGAGGCGAUGGGUUCCGAUCUCAGGAGAGGUGGCGUUUGCACUGCCUCCCCGCUGGGAAUCUUUGUAAACUGUUUUCUUCUCAACUCCAAAGUCACUUUUACCACCAGGUCACAGCCAAUAGAAGAUCAGCAAUACACAGCUCUGCUUCGAAGUGUGUGAACCCUGCAGGGAUGCUCAUUAUUCCUGGAUAAAUUAUUAAGAUAAACAUGUAAAAUUAAUAAAUUACUGUGAUUUACACCCCUGAUUCUACUUACCUACUUGGAUUAACCAGCACAGCUUCGGUUUCACUUAUUUUUACACCUGGAACAUAUGGAACUGCUCAUUACACACCUAUUAUUUCAAAUGAGAAACGCUGAUUGUCACCUAGGGGCUCGGCGAGCAAACACAGGUCGCGUUCAUUCCGCCACGAACAGAAAUCAGGCAACAGGUAAGUGAGGAAACUGCAGUUUACGAGGGAUGAGCUGUGAAUUGUUGGUAUCUCAGAAAACGCGGGACAUGACCGUAGUAAAGGUCACCGCUAAGGUAGCUACGACGGGGUAAUUUGAGCUCAGUCGCCGUACGACGAGCGUUUGCCGCAGAACCCCCUGCAGGUCACAUGACCGCAACGAGCCCAGUGGCGCGCGUUCUUCCAGGAGAUGGAUCCGCUGAACCGGACGCUCACCUUCGAGGCCGGAGAGGAGCUCGGGCUGCGGGAACGGCCCCCUGCGGAGGCGGAGCUAGAGGCGCAGCGCAGGAAGAGGUGGAGCAAGAAGACGCCCCGGACCCUGCUGAACGCUCUCGCUGAAAUGGAGGUGUCCUCCGUCUGUCCCGGCACGUGCGGAUCCGAUCCGGGAGCAGAGGAUGGGGGGGCAGCGGGCCAGAGGAGGCUGUGGCGCAAAGACCCCCCCGAAACCCUCCUGCGGGCCCUCGCCGAGGCGACGCUCAGCAGCACGGGCACCCCCGCCCCCUCGGGAACCCUCCCGCCAAGCCAGCCGGACCCGGAUGCCGAGGACACCGAGGAGGAGGGAGGCUGCGAUGUAGAUGUGGAUGAAGAGCGACUGGAGCCACGGUCAGAUGACGAUGACACAAACUUUGAGGAAUCGGAGGACGAGCUGAGGGAAGAGGUGGCCGAGUCCAUGAGGAAGUACUUCUCCGUGGACGAGGCCUCCGGGGGGGGGGCGGAGGUCCCAGGCGGCCCGGACACCGAUGGGGGACCGGGGCUCGUCCCCGAGCCGAGGGAGCGGGAAGAGGGGGCCGCGGGGCCGCGCACGGCGCCCUCCAGCCAGGAGGUGCCGACCUCAGACCGCGAGGCCCCAAAGGCGGAGGCGGCGGAGACGGAGCGGACUGAGUCGGGACUGUGA